rnacentral:rRNA from 1 species
UACGUAGGUGUCGAGCGUUGUCCGGAUUUAUUGGGCGUAAAGAGCGUGUAGGCGGCCAGGUAGGUCUGCUGUGAAAACUCGAGGCUUAACCUCGAGAUGUCGGCGGAAACCAUCUGGCUAGAGUCCGGAAGAGGAGAGUGGAAUCCCUGGUGUAGCGGUGAAAUGCGCAGAUAUCAGGAAGAACACCCGUGGCGAAGGCGGCUCUCUGGGACGGUACUGACGCUGAGACGCGAAAGCGUGGGGAGCGAACAGG